AGACGACGCUGGCGGCGUGCCUAACACAUGCAAGUCGAGCGGAGGCAUACGAGGAGUAAUCUGAGUAUGCCUGAGCGGCGGACGGGUGAGUAACGCGUGAGCAACCUGCCUUCCACGAGGGGGAAACGUUUACCGAAAGGUACACUAAUACCGCAUGAGACCACGGUACCGAUGGUAGUGGGGUCAAAGGAGCAAUCCGGUGGGAGAUGGGCUCGCGUCCGAUUAGGUAGUUGGCGGGGUAACGGCCCACCAAGCCUGUGAUCGGUAGCCGGCCUGAGAGGGUGAACGGCCACAUUGGAACUGAGAGACGGUCCAAACUCCUACGGGAGGCAGCAGGUGGGGAAUUAGUUGGGCAAUGGGGGGAACCCUGACCCAGCAACGCCGCGUGAGGGAAGAAGGUUUUCGGAUUGUAAACCUCUGUUCUUGGAGAAGAGUGGAAGACGGUAUCCAAGGAGGAAGCCCCGGCUAACUACGUG
rnacentral:rRNA from 1 species